UUCAGGACGGGGACAACAGUUGGAAACGACUGCUAAGACCCGAUGUGCCGAGAGGUGAAAUUAAUUUAGCCUGAAGAUGAACUCGCGUCGGAUUAGCUAGUUGGAGUGGUAACGGCACACCAAGGCGACGAUCCGUAGCUGGUCUGAGAGGAUGACCAGCCACACUGGGACUGAGACACGGCCCAGACUCUUACGGGAGGCAGCAGUGGGGAAUUUUCCGCAAUGGGCGAAAGCCUGACGGAGCAAGACCGCGUGGGGGAGGAAGGUCUGUGGAUUGUAAACCCCUUUUGUCAGGGAAGAAUCAAAUGACGGUACCUGACGAAUCAGCCUCGGCUAACUCCGUGCCAGCAGCCGCGGUAAUACGGAGGAGGCAAGCGUUAUCCGGAAUUAUUGGGCGUAAAGCGUCCGCAGGUGGUUAUACAAGUCUGCUGUCAAAGCGCGAGGCUCAACUUCGUACCGGCAGUGGAAACUGUAGGACUAGAGAAUGAUAGGGGCAGAGGGAAUUCCCAGUGUAGCGGUGAAAUGCGUAGAGAUUGGGAAGAACACCGGUGGCGAAAGCGCUCUGCUGGGUCAUAUCUGACACUGAGGGACGAAAGCUAGGGGAGCGAAAGGGAUUAGAUACCCCUGUAGUCCUAGCCGUAAACGAUGGACACUAGGCGUUGACCGUAUCGACCCGAGCCGUGCCGAAG
rnacentral:rRNA from 1 species